UUCCGGUUGAUCCCGCCGGACCCCACUGCUAUCGAGGUGGGACUAAGCCAUGCCAGUCGAACGACCCGGACUAUGGCGGGGAGUGGCAGACUGCUCAGUAACACGUAGCUAACCUACCCUCGGGACGGGGAUAACCCCGGGAAACUGGGGCUAAUACCCGAUAGGUAUGGAUUCCUGGAAUGGUGCCAUGCCUAAACGUAAGCACAUCCAUGUUUGUGUGCACGCCCGAGGAUGGGGCUGCGGCCGAUCAGGCAGUUGGUGAGGUAACGGCUCACCAAACCUUUGACCGGUACGGGCCAUGAAAGUGGUAGCCCGGAAAUGGGCACUGAAACAAGGGCCCAGGCCCUACGGGGCGCAGCAGGCGCGAAACCUCCACAAUUCACGCAAGUGAAAUGGGGUUACCUCAAGUGCCAUCUGAAAAAGGUGGCUUUUCCUUGGUGAAAUGAGCCGUGGGAAUAAGGGGGGGGCAAGACUGGUGUCAGCCGCCGCGGAAACACCAGCCCCCCGAGUGGUGGGGAUGAUUAUUUGGCCUAAAGCGUCCGUAGCCAGCUCGGUAAAUCUCUCGUUAAGUCUCGCGUCUGAUGCGUCGCGCUGCGACGGAAACUGUCGAUCUAGAGGGUGGGAGAGGCUAGCGCUAUUACUGGGGUAGGGGCGAAAUCCCUUGAUCCCCCUAGGACUCCCCGUGGCGAAGGCUGCUGACUAAAACUCUCCUGACGCUGAGAAAAAAAAUUUGGCGUAGCGAAUCGGAUUAGAUACUCGAGUAGUCCGAUUCAAAACGAUGCAGGAUACGUGUUUGUCGAGCAUGUGCCCCCUCAUUGGCUCAGUGAUCCUGUAUACUGCGCCUGGGGAGUGCGGCCGCUAGGCUGAACUUAAAGGUAGUAGGGCGUGAGAGUCACACAGUAGUGAAGCCUGCGGUUUAAUUGGAGUCAA
rnacentral:rRNA from 1 species